rnacentral:lncRNA from 1 species
CAGCAAUGGACGCCAAUGAAAAUUCUACACAAGGAACCAAAAAGUUCCAUAUAGAACAAUAGAAGAAACCGGGUAAAAACCAACCAAUUCUGGCAUGCACUAGUUCUUUCUAUAUAUUCGAGAAUAUUAUAAAAUGUGAACUGCUACAUAAAUUAAUUUAACGAUUUAUAAAAAUAAUAAUAUUAUAACCGAAUUAGAGUUCGAUUAUGAUUUAUGUAGCUAUAACCACAUGGAGGCUCGGUUUCUUGUCUUCUUGACAAAUGUAAAAUAUUGUUUAAUCCAAGUUAUGUACAUCAAAUUCUCUCCUUUUUCUAUCUAGAACAAAUGAAAACAAGUUGGGAGUCAAUUUGUAAAAUUGCUGUGGAAAUCGUAAAGGAGCCGAACGGUGUUGUGAUGUUGCUAUUAGCAUUUUAUAAGGUUUUCGGUUUUAGCAAUUGAACACAUGGAAUGAAUUGCCGUUGGCACUUCCAAGUUUUAUUUUAUUUUAAUUUUGGAUAAAUGAAAUUAUAUUUUUUUUAAACUUAAUUUGAUUAAGAGAUAAAGAAGUGAUAGUCUAUACUUAAAAUUCAUAAUAAAACAAUAUUGAUUUAGUCAUAAAGAUAUUAUUUAUGAAGGAACAACAGUAAUUCAAAUACAAUAUAACAACAAAAGCGAACAUAUGUCAAAGUCAUCCAUUUCCAAUUCGGGUUAGUCACAUGGGACAAUGUGGUACAUUCUGCGUAUUUAGAGAUACGAUUUAUGACUAGCUACAUUCAUGUAUAAUCGAAUCAACAUAAGAUGACAUGGUCAAAAGUUAAAUUGAACUCUCACUCAAAAUAGUUCAAACCUUCACUUGAGAUAGCAAUAGCUUAGCCCACAUGAAUCAUUUGUAAUCGAAUCAAGAUGAGAUGACAUGGUCAGAAGUCAAAUCGAACCAUUACUUGGGAUAGUAAUAGCUCGGCCCACAUGAAUCAUUUGACGAAAGCACUUCAAUACUAUCACCUACCGUGGUGAUUUGUCACUCAACAAGUCAUCAAGGGCAUAACAAACAUGGUGGACAUGACCCAAAUCCAGAUCUUGCAGCAAUGGACGCCAAUGAAAAUUCUACACAAGGAACCAAAAAGUUCCAUAUAGAACAAUAGAAGAAACCGGGUAGAAACCAACCAAUUCUAGCAUGCACUAGUUCUUUCUAUAUUUUCGAGAAUAUUAUAAAAUGUGAACUGCUACAUAAAUUAAUUUAACGAUUUAUAAAAAUAAUAAUAUUAUAACCGAAUUAGAGUUCGAUUAUGUAGCUAUAACCACAUGGAGGCUCGGUUUCGUCUUCUUGACAAAUGUAAAAUAUUGUUUAAUCCAAGUUAUGUACAUCAAAUUCUCUCCUUUUUCUAUCUAGAACAAAUGAAAAUUGCGCAAUGGAAGGAAAAGAUGUAUAAUUACAUUUGGUGUUAUUCUUCACCUAGCCACUUUCUUCAGUAACUAUAUGGUCAUCAUAUGCAGCAAGGAAGAAAGU